UGUGAUGAAAAUGAAUGAGGAUGACUUUACGUAGAGAGUGUGUAAAAACCGAGUGGAGUAAAGUGAAUUGCAGUGACGUGAAGUGCAGUGAAGUGCAGUGCCAUCGAGUGUGGGGCACCGUUACCCUACAGUGCCCCGCGCCACACCUCAGGGGUGGCUCGUGGUCCUGCACCAUGAUGCCGCCCCGCCCGUUGGAGUCUGGCGGAGGCGGUGCGGGGUUAUGUCGGGACUGCCUCAAGUAUGCCGUCCACGCUCCCUGCCCUUCUCGGCUGGAGAGGGUGUGGGUGUGUGGAUGGGCAGAAAGACCACUGAGCCUUAGACGUGACCCUGUGCCACUGAGGCCAGGCUCCUGCCGUCCAUAAGCUGACCUGCUGCCUGGCGGAGGCCUCGGCGCCGGCUGGCCAGCGUGGAGGCACCUGCUUGGUCUGAUCUUCAGUGUUGGUAAGUACCAUGCACAGCUCAUCGCGGGACAGCGUGGGACAGCGCGGGACAAGAGGAAUGGCAGCAAGGAAAGUGACGAGGUUCCGUUCCUUGGUUAGGGCUCGGCUAGGAUGCUAACCUCACUCUUGUCUUUCAGGGACUAAAUAAUGUUGACCAAGUCUUUCCAGGCAUCCUUUGACUCCUAGCACAGUGUGGAAUGGGAGGAACACAUGAAGAAACGGUAACCUAUCUCUUCUUGCUAUGCUGUUUUUCCUCUGCUAAGCUCCAGGAAAAGUAAUGAUAAAAGAGAGAAGAAAGAAAAAGAGAAGAGAGAAGGUAUGAGAUCAGAGGAAAGAGAGAGAAGGAACCAUGGAACUAGAAAUUGCUGUUAUUUGAUCAGAACAAGAAAAAAAGGAGCAGGACGAGGAAGAGAGAAAAAUAGCCUCCAUGUCCUUCAUUAUAUUGGAAAUCAGAUCAAGAAAAAGAAGUCUCGGCAGAUAUAAAAACGAGAUUCUUCUCAUGUAAGGGUGAAAGCAGCUACAUAUGAAGGCCUGAAGAGAAUUACAUAGAAUUACAUAGAAAAUCAGACCACACAGACCCCAGAGAGAGAGAGAAAAAGUGGUUGAAAUAAUCUGUAGGCCCG